rnacentral:tRNA from 2 species
UAGGAAUUAGUAUAAUGGGAGUACGCGAAAUUUUGGGUUUUGUGGUGCGGGUUCAAGUCCUGUUUUCUAGG